UCACAGGCUUCUCUUGAAGCCAACUUUACUCCAUUGACCGAAAUA
rfam:Drosophila mojavensis strain TSC#15081-1352.22 Ctg01_9414, whole genome shotgun sequence.